UACGGAGGGGACUAGCGUUGUUCGGAAUUACUGGGCGUAAAGCGCACGUAGGCGGAUUUGUAAGUCAGGGGUGAAAUCCCGGGGCUCAACCUCGGAACUGCCUUUGAUACUGCAAAUCUCGAGUCCGGAAGAGGUGAGUGGAAUUCCUAGUGUAGAGGUGAAAUUCGUAGAUAUUAGGAAGAACACCAGUGGCGAAGGCGGCGACCUGGGCCAAUAUUGACGCUGAGGUGCGAAAGCGUGGGGAGCAAACAGG
rnacentral:rRNA from 1 species